UACUUACACCCAAACAGAUCUACAAAGAAGAAGUGGAAAAAAAAAUGACUCUCAUGGCCUUCAAAUAAAUAAAAGGAAAAACUUCUAAUACCAUCCCUGUGGUUUUGCACUUUCUCACUUUAGCACCCUGUGAUUUAUAGUGUAUCAAUUUAGUGCCAUGUGAUUUUAUUUUUCUCUAUUUUAUUAUCAAUUUCACUAAUUUUUUUCUUAAAUCAGUGACAAAGUUAAAACUAAAGGGUAUUAAAGUGAAUAUUCGAUAAACCUAGGUGGGGUAUAUGAAGUUUUUUGUAUUUAAUUUAAUAAAAUAUUGACGGAGAAGCUUAUGAAAAGAAAAAAAAAAAUGAAACAUAGCGAACUAAACUGAUACACUUUAAACCACAGGGUACUAAAAUGAGAAAGUGCGAAACCACAGGGUUGGUAUUUGAAGUUUACCCUAAAUAAAAAUAAGAAAUAAGGAAAAAGAAAGCUUUUAAGGCCUAUUUGUUUAACCAAAAGUAUUAAAAAUAAAAAGAUUCUCCUGCCUAAUUAAGAGGCUGCUUUCAUUAUUUAGUUGUACCACAAAUUAAGUUUAGUCUUAAUUAACCCAGCUUUCUCAUGAUGCACUAAUUAACUUCGCUCUUAACCAAUGACAAAAUCGAUUACAAAAGAUGUUUUAACUUUUUCAUCUUUUUAUAUGAUAAUGUGAAAUUUUCUGUAAAUCAAAUAGGAAAGAUGGAAAAACAUGAAGAGCGAUGAGAAAAUAAUAUUUAUAUAAAUUUUAAAUUAAUUAAAACUUACUUUUCCUUUAGUAAUGAAUAUAAAAACUGUAAUAAUUUUUGGAUAAUUUAUGAAUACCCACCUAGCUAGCCCUUACGCAAUGUAAUAUCACAG
rnacentral:lncRNA from 1 species